GAAGCCUCUUGGAUGAGAGGUGAAACGUCUUCAAGGAACCUUCUUAAAGUCCAGUUGGAAUGAUUUAAACAACUUUGGAUAAUCAGAUUUACUCAAGAUAAAGUUGGGAAAGACUAGAUUUUGUCCUCCAUCACAUCUCUGAAGCACAAAAAUCAGAACAGAUUCAAACAAAACCUGUUUUAAUGUGCAUAGAAACACCUUAACUUUGCUUUACGACUAACCUGAAUAAUUGUGCCGUUAUCCUUUAAACCAGUUUUAACCAUCAGAGUCCUGAAAACAAUCAUGUGCACUCGACAAUCAUUUUACUGUAAGGUGGAAAAAACUCUUAGAGCAUUUCUGGAAAUGAGGGGAAACUUUAGUUUCUAAUUUAAUCAAAUCUGAACUUUUGUGCUUCUAGUUCUGAUGUCAGGCUUCAUUUCUCUGAACUUCCAGCUGACGAGUUUUGAAUUAUCAGCCUUGGUUUCUUGUAUUUAUGGUCGACACAUUUCCACUUUGUCUUCACAGCUCCGUCUGGUUGGACUUUAUUUUGGCGAGCUAAGAUUCGCUGGUGACAUUUUCUAAACAUCAGUCAGAGUUUGGAUGUUGAAGUGCCUUUACUGAAGUCGGCUAUCGCUGAGGAGGAGCCACUUUUUAGAAUUUUUCCCUCGAUUUUAGUGAUUCAAACCAGCAGCUUCGUCUUUUCUUCACCUCUUCUGUGUUUUUUUAUUCCAGUCUUGAGCUCAUUCUUCUUCUUCUGUGUCAUUUUGGACAUAGCUGUGAUGAGAAACUAGUCAGCUUAGACUAAAACACAUGAAACAAAUCCUUACAUCGACACCUCUGCUGCAGUAACAACUUCCUUUGAUUGUCAGACAGGAAGUACAGCCGUGACGUCCUGUGAAAUUAGUUUCCUUCUACAGCUAGUUUGGUUGCUUGAUGUAAAAUUAACAGCAUUUAAUCUUCCAAAUGUGGCUCUGAUCUUCCCAAAUCUGACAAACAUGACCAGUGUUUUCUUUGGAAUUGCACCAGAAGGGUGGAAAACACAUUAAAAACCAGUGUUAAACUUUCCACAUCCAUCUGCAGACGUUGGGAGGGUUCAUUCGUGGAAUACGUUAACGUCCAUCUACAGCGUAUGUAAUAAACAGAAUUCUCUGACCAGACUACAGGGUAAUAAUAUUAAAAUAUGGAGUAUAUUCGUAGUUAAAACAUUUAUUGCAUUCUGUAUUUUUAUGGGCUGCAAUAGCUGAAAGAAGCUCACCACAGCUGAAGACACAAAAACUGCAGAUUAGGUCGAUAUUUAAGGCGGAAUUUUAAAACUAAGAUGAAAAAUGUAGUUGAAAGAUUUUAUUAACCUUGAUCUGGCUGCUGUCAGUUUCUGGAUGUUUCAUUAGCACUAGAGCUAAAAUGAUUGAUUAGUUGAUCUGCAAAUCAAUCGGUUGUUGGCAUCUUUUUGCCCUGACAUUGUAUAGAUAACAAGAUUAAUGAUCCCUAAUGAAAACUAUAGAUGUCCUGAUUCCAUCUUAAAGAUCAGAAUCAGGACUGAUUGAGGCAUUUUUAAAAUGAUCAGAGUUGGAAUCUAAACCUGAUCAUUUGUUUUUGUCUGGUGUCACACAGGUGUUGAAAAGCUAGAGCACAGUUUGUAGUGGAAUGCUAGAGAUUCUGUUUUCUUAAAGCAAGUAUUUAAAGCAAUAUUCUGCAGCAUUAUUAAUCAAUAGUUGAUUAAUCAAUAACAAAGUGAGCACACUGUUAUUUCUGAUUUAGUCAUGAUACAGAUUGUAAAGGUGUUUCUGUCCUGGUUGAUCCCAGCUCCUCUAAAAACAUAUUAGCACUAGUCAGAGGUCAUUAAGCAUCUCAUGAAUCUUUGUCAUGGUGGCCGUUGCCAACAUGAACUGCAGUCUAAGUGACGCCUCUUCUGGUCUCUACAGUAUUAAACAGGAAGAGGCUCCACCUGGUGGAACAACCAGGUACUACAGCUGAUCUACAUUUACUGACAUCAUGUACUUUGUCUUCUGCCCUAAAAUUAUUAAGCGAGUCUAAAAACAGUCCAAAACCAAGUCAAGAACCGGUUUAAAAUCGUCCAAAAAGCUAGUCUGAAACUAUAUUUAAAGCAGAAUAAACAAGACUGAAACCAAGUCCAGAACUGGUCAAAACCAGUUUUAAAUCAGCACAAAAGCUAUAUUCAACUGGUGUGCAUGAGUUAGCUUUGGUCGGAGGUCAUUAAGCAACACAGAAGUCUUUGUCAUGGUGCCCCUUUGCUAGCUAAACUCCCACAAUGCUCUCUGCUUUAACAUAAACUGUAGUCUGAGUGACGCCUCCUCUGGUCUCUACAGUAUUAAACAGGAAGAGGCUCCACCUGGUGGAACAACCAGGAACUACAGCUGAUCUAUAUUUACUGACAUCAUGUAGAUAAUACAGGUUUUCUACAUCUUUGCACAGAACAUCCUAAACUUUAACACUACGUUUAGACAGAGUCCUACUGCAGCUUUACCACAAGGUUCCUGAACACCUACAGAACAUUCAGGAACAGACUGGAGGCAGAAAUGCAUUUUUUUAAAUGCAUUUCAGAGAUAUUCAGUUGUCAAGCAGAUAAAUUGGAUUGUUUUUAUUAGCUUUAAUGUACCUAAAGUGUGUGUUAUCAGGAAAAUGGCAUCGGAUUGGGACAAAAACCUGAUAAGGACGUCUCAUGGUAGUAAUAGUUGCAGCUCUAGUAAACACCCAACACUUCGACAUUUUGUGCUGCAGAUGUGAUUUGCAUUAAAGUUCUGGGUGGAGACUCUAAACUUAUCAAAGCGACACUUCAGCUCUUUAUCGGUACAACAGACCUGUAAUGACUGACUUUUAUUUUCUGAUGCUGAGACAGAAAACAGCAGUUUCCUGAAGUGGACUAGAUAAAGACGUUGUUUAACAGAAGGAACUCACAGACUUCCUCAUUCUGUGUGAGGAGGAACACCACAGUAACCUUUCUGCAACCUUUCUGUUUAGGGAACUACCUUAUUUAUUGUAUUUUCACUGUAUCAUAAAGGGACGAAUAUUUAACCCGACCGAAGCCUCUGACGGGAUGUUUGUGACGUUUCUCCUUCGUGUUGGAGGGAAAACAAACUCCUCCCGAAGAGCUCCGGUUGUUUUUGCACUUUGCCUUUUAGCUCCACGAUCCUGAAUCUUUAUUUUAUCACUGAGGGUAAUAUUUUUCUACAUGUGUUGUUGUAAUGUUGUACAUUGAAAACCGGCGAGUCACUGAACUUUAUUUAUAGCUGAUAAAAACUCCAGAUAGAGAAUCGUGUUUGUUCUAUAAACCAUAAAACCUGCAGCAGAUCAUUUAACUGAAAACAGUUUGGAUUAAACAUGAUUCUUCAUCUCCGGAGUUCAUGCCGACACUCUUCCGCUGAUGUUGUUUCCUCUCUCGAGUUGUUCGUGUUUUGCAGUUGAGGUUCGUCUUCUUUGAGAGUCGGAGCAGGAGGGUUAGCAGAGUUAGCAGGAUAACUCUGGGUGUUUAUUCUUUAAUAUGUGGUCCGGCUUUACUGAUUUUUUUGGAGUUGUGUGCAUAGACUUUGUGAGAGUCAAUAAUAGAUCCAAAGUAGAAGAAACAAAAAGCUAAAUGUUGGGUUUGGGUUUGAGUUUCUGCACAAAAAUGUAAGCAGUUAUUGCUCAUCAACCCUCUGAACUCCAAGCAGCGUUUUCUGAGUGUUUUUCAUUGGUUCCUGUCUCAUUUUUUCUUCACUGUUGGUUAAUUUUUCUCUGUAAUCUAAAGUCCUGCAGCUCUAUAGAAACAGAAUAACCGUGAAUAUAGGUAGCAAUAACUCAGAAAUGUCUUUUGUCAGUAUGACACAGUUAAAAUGACAAAAAUCUAAUUUUAAAAAGAAAAAACUCAAGACUUUCCUCGAUGGAAGCAGAACAACCAUGAAGAAGGAGAGAAUUCUUUGUGCAGACACAGUUGCGAUGCCAAAAGUUGAAUUUCUUUCAUUAUUAAUUUUUCUAAAACUUUAAAAACUGGAAUCAGCUUGAACAGCAUUUUUCUAAGUAACAAUACUGAAAAAAAACUGAGCUUUACACAGCCUGCAGUUCAGCCAAGUUAAACCGAAUUGUUUCCUGAAUUUUCAGUACCAGACUGUGGGUCACAGACAAGUCAGUAACAGGUCUAUGAAUAUACAGAGGAACUCAGAAUUUUUUCCUUUUUUACAGAAUCUGGCUACUGUAAUUGGUUUAUUUUUGGCAAAAUUUUAAAUGAGACAAAGAAUAAAGCGAUUUCUGAUGAAAUACUCAGAUUUUAAAGUUUUCCAACAGAGCGACAGUCAGGGAAUGUUGGAAUGUCAAAAAACACGAUUGUUUCUGUUUAUACAGUUUUUGGCUCUAAAUUAAAAAGAAAAAAUGUAAUUAUUAAUCUAUUUUUUCAUACCUUUCAGAACUUGGAGUUCAGAGGAUUAAAUCUGUUUAGCUGUAAAUCAUGAAUAUCUCAAACAAACUGUGUGAAUAUCAAGUCUACGUUUGUUUUUUUCAGGAGUUAUUUUUCAUAUCAGUCUGAAUUAAAUGUCAUAAAACUCUAACCCUGAAAAAAAAAAUUAACACAGACUUGAUGUUUACUGGAAAAUUACACAAAACUGUUGAUUUUUCUUUUCAGUUAUACAGAAGUUAAAGUAAUAAAACACCUGAUUGGUCCUUUAAGACAGUUUAGAUGUCAGUUUGAGGUUCGUGUAGAACUUUAAAAUGAAGUUUUUUCUCUCUCCUGCUCCAACAAAUAUGCAGAAGACCAAUCUUUGCUCUAUUUGCACUUAAACACUCCAGAGUAGAGUCGUGUGUUUAAACAGCAGGACUUCCUUGAUUUAAAUGUCUAAAAUAAUAAAUAUGUUGUAAGAAACAUGUUAAAUACACAACUCUGCUUGAGCGUAGAAACACGAUCUUCCAAAGUCAUCUUCUCUACAUUAGAGAUUUGUGAUAUUGAUUCUAUGCAGCUUUUCUUCUGUCCGCCGACCUUCAUCUUCCUCCUCUUCCUCGGUGUGUUUACCUGUAACGUGCCACAGCGUUUAUUUUUCACUCUUAUUUAAACCUCACGUCAUGUUUAGUUUAUUGUUUUGUAUCUAUUAUUGUUAUUUUAUUCUACUUUAAGCACUGUAACGCUGAAAAGGGAAUUUUAUUCACGUCUUCCAUUUCUAGUUCUUCUUUUUACAUCUUAAGUUAUUUCUCUGUUAAGUUAAUUUUUGUAUCGUGUUUGUUUUCUGUCCGACAACGUGGUCGAAGCAUCACAAUGUAAACAUGUGGAAAUGUUAUUUAUGUUGUUGUUCUUGUUGCCACUUUUAUAUCGAACACAUUUAGUGAUUAAAUACAGUUUUAAAAAGGUUCUGGACGUGUUGCGACGCAACAAGAGUGACUAUUUUUAUUGCAACCCGACGUUGACCUUUAAUGGUGUCUCAUAGUAACUAGUAGUUCCACUUUCACUGCAAAACUAGAGGAAAAAAAGUGGAUCAAAAUAUAUCAAAAAAUGUUUUGUAAAACAUGAAGACCAGAUACUGUUUAAACUGCCAAUGUUCAAUUCAAUGUCAUUUAUUUUCAUUAAAAACAUGUAAAAUACAGCUUUUCUUGUGUUGUUUUUGGUCUGAACAGUUGGGAUGGAGGUGAAGGAGGUUUAUUACUGUUGGAUAAUUAUGCAGUUUACGGCUAGCUGUUGUUGAUUUUAAAUAUAUAUUUAAAUAUAUAUUAAAUGUACUUUAUGUUUAUUUAAAUAUGAAUUAAAU
ensembl:lncRNA